rnacentral:rRNA from 1 species
AAUUUUGGAAAAUGGGGGAAACCCUGAUCCAGCCAUCCCGCGUGUAUGAUGAAGGCCAUAGGGAUGUAAAGUACUUUUGGCAGAGAAGAAAAGGUACCUCCUAAUACGAGGUACUGCUGACGGUAUCUGCAGAAUAAGCACCGGCUAACUACGUGCCAGCAGCCGCGGUAAUACGUAGGGUGCAAGCGUUAAUCGGAAUUACUGGGCGUAAAGCGUGUGUAAGCGGUUCGGAAAGGAAGAUGUGAAAUCCCAAGGCUCAACCUUGGAACUGCAUUUUUAACUGCCGGGCUAGGGUAUGUCAGAGGGGGGGUAGAAUUCCACGUGUAGCAGUGAAAUGCGUAGAUAUGUGGAGGAAUACCGAUGGCGAAGGCAGCCCCCUGGGAUAAUACUGACGCUCAGACACGAAAGCGUGGGGAGCAAACA